AUGUUAGGGUUCAAAGAAAAAGUGGCGUUCAGACUUCUUCAGCAAACACGAUCUCCUCCUCUCUCAAUCUCAUAUGCGGUGGCUCUUCCUUCUACGCGCCUCUCCGCCGCUCACCUUCUGGCUUCAAUCACCGCAACCUCACGCUUCCGACUCAACCUCUCUUUGAUGAGACGUUAUUCUCCGCCUCAAGCUUCAACCAUCGAUCUUCUUCUCACAGCGAAAAGCGCCUCAACACGUGACUCCAUCUUCGCCGUAUCGAGCUUCAUGAAUCGACCUUCUCCAUUUCCGUUUCGUCAUUUUCGCUCUCGCCCGCUCAAUUCGUCCAUCUUGAUAUUGAUCACUUCUAUCAUCUUCGCUUCGCUUCAGACAGUGCGACCCUCCCAUUAA